rnacentral:lncRNA from 1 species
ACCACGUUUCAAAUCCCAACGGCUCCGGACGCCUGAAUGGAGCCUCGCUCCCUCUGUCCCGCCCUUCCCAGAUCUAAGCCCACCCACUGGCGCUAUGGCGGCCUUCCCGCGGAUCGCGGCGCACUGCAGGUAUGAGUCCAUCGCCUGCGGGACUUCGCCUUGCAGACGGCCCCUACCUCGCCCCAGGAUCCCUGUCAGGCGCCACAUGUCGUGGCCAGCACCAUAGAGCCUGCAGCCGAGGGAUCGAGGCCCAAAGGACGGGACAGGGACCAGAGUGGCCGCUGCGCUGUCCCCAGCGGCCGAGUCCCCAGCCAGCCAAUCAGCAAGGAGCCCUGCCGGAAGGAUGACGCUCUAGGAAGGAAGUGGCCAUCGGAUAGGGCGGGCUUGGCGCUGGCGAGCGGGGAUAACGAUAGGCCUUCAUGCUGGUCCUGAGCUUUUACCGUGAUGCUUCCCCCGUUGCCCUCUGUUUGGAUGUCCAUUCCCACCUUUGGCCUGGGUUCCACUAAGUUAAAGGAGCCCGGUACUCUUAUUCCCACGCUGCCUCCGGAAGGUAAAUCUGCUCAAAGGCGAUCUGCGUGCUGUAGCAGCUAAGAUUUGAAUCCAGACGUCAGGACUCAGUACCUUCCCUACAAAAAUCCCUUUGUGGUCCAGCCAAAGAACUAAAUGCAAGCGGGCGACCAUCUCGACCGCAGCCAGAAAGAGGGGGAAAGCGACACCAAGAAUCCAUUCCAAACGAAAAACCAAGAGGAGACGCGGCAGCUCCUAGAUGUUGAUGUUUUGUUUUUUUGACAUAAAUCUUCGCACUCAUA